AUACGGAGGGGGCUAGCGUUGUUCGGAAUUACUGGGCGUAAAGCGCGUGUAGGCGGAUCGUUAAGUCAGGGGUGAAAGCCCGGAGCUCAACUCCGGAAUUGCCCUUGAUACUGGCGGUCUAGAGGCCGGGAGAGGUGAGCGGAAUUCCCAGUGUAGAGGUGAAAUUCGUAGAUAUUGGGAGGAACACCAGUGGCGAAGGCGGCUCACUGGCCCGGUUCUGACGCUGAGACGCGAAAGCGUGGGGAGCAAACAGGAUUAGAAACCCUUGUAGUCC
rnacentral:rRNA from 1 species